CUCGUUGUGUGACCCGGCUGAGGAGCCAGUUGCAGCCGAAGGAAGUCAACCUAAAAGGCCUUGCCGCAUCAACUACGAAGCAAAAGCUCUGAUUGAAAAAAUCUUGACGACAAAGCCUGGAGGUGACCGUAUCAUGGCGGAGUAUGCGAAAACAAAAUCAAUUUCAGAUUCAACCAGAAGACAGUUCAUCAACAUACUUACUGCAGAGAUGACGGAAACACAUGGGACAUCUCCGCCCCGGAGUGUAAAAGUGAUGUAUGCACAGGGGAUUGUCGCUCUGUUUCCAUAUCUUGAAGACCCA